CUUUGAAGUGUUAACAUAAAUAGUUGACUUCUCCAACACAAAUUAUUCUCUUUGGUUGAUUAGUGGAAGAAAAAUGGGCUCUUCACAAGAGAUUUAUACUUCACUUGAUUCCAUUAGGGAACAUCUUCUUGAUGAUGAUGUUGCUUUCAUGGAAUAUUACUGCUCUAAAUCUUGUUUCUCUUUUCAAACUUCAAAUCUUGAUCAUACCUCAAAAACAGAGUACGAUGGUUUUUUCAAAUUUGAGGCAAAACCACAUGUUAUCAGUUCAAAUUCUCCGAAACAGAGUAACUUGAGAGAACGGAAGCCAUCUCUGAACAUUGCGAUACCCGCGAAGCCAAUUGUUGUUGUAGAGAAUGUUGAGAGUGAGAAGAAGAAGCAUUACAGGGGAGUUAGACAGAGGCCAUGGGGGAAGUUUGCAGCGGAGAUUCGUGACCCA
rnacentral:misc_RNA from 1 species